UAUAUAUAUAUAUAUAUAUAUAUAUAUAUUAGAGCUGUCAAGCGAUUAAAAUAUUUAAUCGCGAUUAAUCGCAUUAAUGUCAUAGUUAACUCACAUUAAUCUCGAUUAAUCGCAAAUUAUUUUUCUAUGCUAAAUAUCCCUUGAUUUUUUUGUCCCAUAAUUCUUAAUUCUCUUAUCAACAUGGUGAAGUGUAUCGGCUUGCCUUGUGCAAAUGAUUUUUUAUUGAUAACAACAUUGGCAUAUACUGAUCAAAACAGGACGAUACAAAAAAAGAGCCUAUAGUGCAAUUAAACGACUGCUUUGAACAAAUGUAAUUUGAACAUAGCAGUCAGGCUACUGCUUCUUUUUGCGUUAAUCGCGCGAUAAUUUUUUUAACGCCGUUAAAUUUGGUUUGCGUUAACGCCGUUAAUAACGCGUUUAACUGACAGCUCUAAUAUAUAUAUAUAUAUAUAUAUGUAUUAGGGAUGGGCAUAAUUAAUCGAUGCUCGAUAAUUGAUCGUUAAGAAAUGCGUCGAUCAAUUUAUAUUGUUAUCGAUCAAAAGGACGUUGUGUUGCAUACUGUGAGUCUUGAAGCAUUUAAUUGAAUAUAACCCUGCCGACUGGUGGAAAGUGAAUGGAAGAAGGUUCCCCAGGCUGUCAAAGUUAGCGCGACAAUACCUCUGCAUCCCCGCAACUUCGGUCCCGUCAGAGCGGGUGUUUUCUGCUGCUGGACUGACAGUUACAAGGCUGCGUUCGCGUCUGACCCCCGAGCAUGUUAACAUGCUUAUAUUCCUAAACAAAAAUAUGUAGGCUGGAGUUACUGUAUGCUAUGGACAGUAGGGACAGUCACCACCGUAUGUGAGUCGCUCUUUUCUUUCUUAAUGUGUUGACUCUCGCUCCGCUUGGUGCCUCUUGGAGUCGUUACAUUUUGCCAAAACUGUGAUAUUUU